rnacentral:rRNA from 1 species
UACGUAGGUGGCAAGCGUUGUCCGGAUUUAUUGGGUUUAAAGGGUGCGUAGGCGGUUCCAUAAGUCAGUGGUGAAAUACAAUAGCUUAACUAUUGAGGUGCCAUUGAUACUGCGGAACUUGAGUACAGACGAGGUAGGCGGAAUUGACGGUGUAGCGGUGAAAUGCAUAGAUAUCGUCAAGAACACCGAUAGCGAAGGCAGCUUACUGGGCUGUAACUGACGCUGAGGCACGAAAGUGUGGGGAUCAAACAGG